UGGUGGAGUGAUUUGUCUGGUUAAUUCCGAUAACGAACGAGACCUCCGCCUGCUAAAUAAUUUGAUUUAACUUAAUUGUUAGAUGUUUAAUUACUUAGAGGGACUUGUAGCGAUUAGCUAUAGGAAGUUGGAGGCAAUAACA
rnacentral:rRNA from 1 species